AGUGAACGCUGGCGGUAGGCCUAACACAUGCAAGUCGAACGGCAGCACAGUAAGAGCUUGCUCUUACGGGUGGCGAGUGGCGGACGGGUGAGGAAUACAUCGGAAUCUACUUUUUCGUGGGGGAUAACGUAGGGAAACUUACGCUACUACCGCAUACGACCUACGGGUGAAAGCAGGGGAUCUUCGGACCUUGCGCGAUUGAUUGAGCCGAUGUCGGAUUAGCUAGUUGGCGGGGUAAAGGCCCACCAAGGCGACGAUCCGUAGCUGGUCUGAGAGGACGAUCAGCCACACUGGAACUGAGACACGGUCCAGACUCCUACGGGAGGCAGCAGUGGGGAAUAUUGGACAAUGGGCGCAAGCCUGAUCCAGCCAUACCGCGUGGGUGAAGAAGGCCUUCGGGUUGUAAAGCCCUUUUGUUGGGAAAGAAAAGCAGCAGGUUAAUACCCCGCUGUUCUGACGGUACCCAAAGAAUAAGCACCGGCUAACUUCGUG
rnacentral:rRNA from 1 species